GAAACCGCCCAGAGGUAAACGGGUGGAUCCGCAAAGUCGGCCCGUGGAAUUCAGCGCGUGCGGAGGGUCCGGGAAUCGGGCCGGGGAUCUUCGGACCCCGCCCAGCUCUCGACUGGGCCCGACGCCGCGUGCACUUUCAGCGGGCAGAGCGCCACGACCGGUUUCGCGGCGGCGACAAGCCCGUUCGGAUGCGUGGCACGAUCUCGCGGUCGUGCUACGGCCGCUCGCGGUGAGCCGCUGUCGGGACCGAGGGACGUCCGCGCGCUUCGAGGCUGCCCGGCCUCGCUGGGGAGUUCGACUGGCAGGGACUGGGCAACCGUGCCUGCCGACCGCUCCCCGGUGUCGGUUCGGGACAGCCGGGCGCGUCUUGGGGUCGGUGGCGAGUCUGUCGGCAUUCCACCCGACC
rnacentral:rRNA from 1 species